rnacentral:lncRNA from 1 species
UGGAAAUGGCAGUGUCUUGCCUUUCCAAUUUGUCACGGAUCUCUCCAAACAUUAAAUUCAUGCGCUCAAAUUGUUGUUGCAUGGCUUUGAGCAUGAUUGAUUGGUCUAUAGCUUCCUGAUCUUUUGAUAUAUUUGUGAUGUGAAAAGAAUGUUAGCAAAAAAACCUCACAACACUCUCUUACGUGUUUCACUCAAUUUUAUGUCACUCAAUUCUCGUGUUUAGCACACAAAUUGGCUUUUAUCCUCUAAUGAUCUCACAAACUUUUACCUUUUACCACACUUGAUUCUCUCUUUUAGUUCUUUAUUGAACCAAAUAAACAAAAUCAAGAAAAACCUAGGUGGCACACCAAAUAUGACAAACCAGCACACUAAACAAAGAAAAAGAAUUAAGAGGACACAGAGAGCGACAAAUGAAAUUAAAGAAAAGAAAACAAGCAAGCAAAUGAACACAAUUGGUAUUAUGUGUAAACAAUUUUAACGAAAAUGAAUAACUAAAAUUCAAUUUGAUGAAAGUAGGAAGCCUGGAAUCCUUUUGCAAUCUUUUUUUUGCUGUAUUUUUUCUUUUUUUUAAUAAUCAAAAUAAAUAAGACAUUCAAACCUGAUUAGAAACUAGCUUUGAUACCAAAUGAUGCGAAUCUCACAAGAAACUUUGAAACCUACACUUAAUUUGAAGUUUCAACUUCUCAAGAAAGUUCUAAACAAAUUUAUGACAAACAAAACAGUGACUUAAUGGUUAAGAAAAUAUAAACCAAAGGCAUAGAGAAUGAUAUUGACACCACACUCAAGAUGUAGAUGAGAAGGUGAAUGAUAAGUUUAGAUUUGGAGCGCCACAAGAAUGCAAAUUUUUGAUAAGUUCAUUAGUUUUUAAAAGAACUAAAGAAACAAUAAUCUUCCAAAUUCAAAUAACAUUAAUCUCUAAUUGUCUUACAUAGUAAGAUUGCUGAGUUCAAAUAGGCUAAUAGAAACCCAGGAUCCUAAAAAUACAAAUGGAAAUAUUGAAACAACCCUUCAAGCAUAGGCUUGUCAAAUGAUGCUUUAAAAGUCUUCACCAACCCACCAUUAUUAAUGCUAGUCAUUGACAAACUUAAUGCCAGCCCACCAUUAUUGAUGAUAGAUUUACCUAACACAUUGACAAACUUGAAAAAAAAAAGAAAUGAAUAAAAUUGAAUAAACAAAUGAGUGGUUGAAAUUCCUAAGCCUGAAAUAAAUUGGUCAUAACACCUUCUAGAGAACUCUAAAUCUAGCUAUGUAAAUUGCAUUGGAAAGUUAGCUUAAUUAUCUUUUUAAUGAUCUAUGGCUUGCAUAUUAGUUUUAGCCCAAUCAAUGCCAAUUUCAUUCCGAAUUUACCCUUUUUGCAUUUGACCCAAAUUGUGCAUUUGGCUGCCCAACAACUUGAAUAAUGCCCACAAUGUCUUGUCUUCUCUCCAAACCCAAUUCAUAAUGUCUUGUAUCUUGUACAUUUUCUCACUUUUUAAUGGUGAUUUCUAAUUUCACUUGUAAGCUCAAAGAUUUGUUGUGCUAAAGAAUCAAUUAUGUCAACUAAAAAACAUGAAUUUAUUUGUUGUGCUAAAGAAUCAAUUAUGUCAGCUAAAAAACAUGAAUUUAAAUCACUUGGAUACGUCAUAGCAUCAAAAAUAUUAAAAUGGAUAACCUCUCCAUCAAACUCCACAAUUAGAGUUCUAUUAUACAAAUCAUAUUAGUCCUGGUUAUUUUCAUGAAUGGUUUUCUAGAAGUAAUAGAGUUGGAAUAGGAGAUCCACCAUCCUCUGUAUCAAGAAUAUAGAAAUCAGUGAGGAAAACAUCUUCCAAAAAUCCUUUUAGAUAAGCAUUAGAUCUAUCAGCAAGUUAAACAAUAACACUAGUUUUUCUAAGUUCACCCAAGUUUAAAGCAGCAUAAAUAAGAAAAGGCAUGAUAUUAAUAGAUGAACCUAAGUCUAACAUAGCUCAUUUAAACUUGGCGUUACCAAUUAUGCAUAGAAUGGUGAAACUUCUUAGACUUUCACAAUUCGAUGGAAGCUUUCUUUUCAAAAGAGCAUACAUAUCUCCUCCACUUUUAUUCCCUUAUUACCUUUGAGCUUGCAUUUUUUGGUGCAUGACUCUUUGAGGAACUUUGCAUAGUGUGAUACUUGUUCAAUAGCCUGCAAUAAAAGUAUGUUAACUUGUAUUUUACGAAGGGUUUUUAAAAUAUAUCUUUCAUGCUCCUCUUUCUUGGAUUUUUCAUCCUAGGGUUUUUUAAAUCUACUAGGAAAAUGUAACAAAGGAACAUUAGAAGAAAUAAGAACCUUAGAAGUUACCUUAGGUACUAAACUCUUCAUAGUAGAAUAUGUGGCUUUAUUUUUCUCAAUAACUAAAUCAUCUUAUUGUUUUGUCUUAUUCGCGGCUAAUUUUCCUCUUUUUGAUGUUUCAUUAAAUUUUUACCACUCCUUAAAGCCACAAAAUUAGCAUUCUCUCUUGUGUUGGAUCGUAGUUUGGGAUGAUGCUUUCUAAAUCUUGUGCUUUUAAUCUGCCCACUACACUAGCCAAUUGGUUGAAUUAUGUCUCUAAAUUCUUGAUGUUGUCAUUUCUUUUUGUUGAAAUGCCAAAGAACUGAUAGCCAAAUAUUUAACCAAAUCUUUAAGGUAUGUUCUUUAAUUAUAGGAAACAGGCUGCAGCCUAGAAUAAUAAGGUUGUUGCCUUGGUUCAAUGAAACCUAGUGGAUGAUUAAGGUUACUAUUAGGACUAGCUUAUUGUUGAUUUUCCAAAUAACUAAAGUUUGGAUGAUCUCUCCAUCUUGGAUAGUAGGUGUUGGAAAAAAGAUCGUACUUUUGCUUUGUCAAACAUGUUGCUCUAAUACCCACGUAUAAUAUUGGUUUGCUCUAAAGUACUAUCUUGCAAAAAAGGACACAUAUUUGUUGGAUGACCUACCAAAAAGUAUAAUCCAUAAGACUUCUACUGUUGAAUGUUACCACUAGCUAAUUGGUGAACUAAUUAAAGUGAGUUUAUCAAGUUUUUAUCCAAUAUUUGAUAAACUAUAAACUGUAUCACUUAAAACCCUAGCCUUAAAUGUUAUCAUUAUUGAGUAUAGAUAUAAGCAAGGGUCAUUCUCAUAGAGUGUUACUCCUAAUUAAAAAGUUAUUAACAUGAAACACACAAACUGUCUACCAACAAAGACUAAAUUAAAAACCCUAGUUAGACUUAACGAAAUCAGUUCAAGCUUUACAAAUUGAACCUCACAAAGAUAAGUGAGACCCUGCACUCAAUGAGGUCAUUUUGCUAAGGAUAAUUUUAAUUUAGACAUUUUGCUAAGGAUCAUUCUAAUUUAGAUUCAAACAACCAACUUAAUUGAUGCGCACCCGCAAAUGAAACUUUGAAACCCACACUUAAUUUGAUGUUUCAGCUUCCCAAAAAAGUUCUAAACAGAUUUAAGCGAAACAAAAACCUUGACCCAAUGUUUAAGAAAACAUGAACCAGAGGUAUAGAGAAGAAUAUUCAUGCCACAUUCAAGAUUUAGAUGAGAAGGUGCGUGAUAAGUCUAUUUUAGAAUGCCACAAGAAUGUAAAUUCUUGAUAAGUUCACUAGUUCUCAAAAGAACGAAAGAAAGAAUGAUAUUUUAAAUUCAAAAUAACAUUCAUCUCUAAUUGUCUUACAUAACAAGGUUGUUGAGUUUAAAUAGGCUAAUAAAACCCAAGAUCCUAAAAAUACAAAUGGAAACAUUGGACCCUUGAAGCAUAGGUUUGUUAAUGGAUGCUUCAAAAGUCUUCACCAACCCACCAUUAUUAAUGCUAGUCAUUGACAAACUUAAUGCUAGCCUACCAUAAUUAUUGCUAGUCAUUGACAAACUUAAUACUAGCCCACCAUCAUUGAUAGUAGACUUACCUAACACAUUGACAAACUUGAAACAAAACAAAGAAAUGAAGUUGAAUAAACAAAGGAGUGGUUGGAAUUCUUAAGCCUGAAAUAAAUUGGUCAUAACACCUUCUAGAGAACUCCAAAUGCAGCACUGUAAAUUACAUUAGAAAGUUAACUUAAUUAUCUUUUCAACGGUACAUAGCUUGCUAAUAGUUCCAACUCAAUCAAUACUAGUUUUAUUCCGAACUUACCCUUUUUACAUUUGACCCAAAUUGUGUGUUUGGCUACCCAACAACUUGAAUAAUGCCCAUAAUGCUUUGUCCUCUCUUCAAGCCCAAUUCAUCAUGUCUUGCCUAUUAAAUUGCAUUUUUAGUCCAUAUUUUCUUAAUUGAUCCAUUUAAAACAACUUGCAUCUUUUUGGCUCCAUCUCUUGUAAUUGUGCCUCCAUGAAUGUGCAAAGGAUCACUUGAAACUUUAAUGGUAUUCUUUUGUGACAUACUAUUUAAGCAACCCAAGAAGGGGGUGAAUUGGGUUACAAAAUGUUAUACAAAGCAAACCACACAACAAUUUAAAUCUAUUUCCUUAAUAAGAACAAAAACAAUAAAUUUAAUUAAGAAAAAUAAUAAAAGAGUAAGGGAAGAGAAAUCAAACACUUGAUUUUUACGUGGUUCGACUAACCGUGCUAAUAAGU